UGACGAGUUUGAUCCUGGCUCAGAUUGAACGCUGGCGGAAUGCUUUACACAUGCAAGUCGAACGGUAGAGGGGGCAACCCCUUGAGAGUGGCGAACGGGUGAGUAAUACAUCGGAACGUACCUUAUCGUGGGGGAUAACGCAGCGAAAGUUGCGCUAAUACCGCAUACGCCCUGAGGGGGAAAGCGGGGACCGUAAGGCCUCGCGCGAUUAGAGCGGCCGAUGUCUGAUUAGCUUGUUGGUGAGGUAAAAGCUCACCAAGGCGAUGAUCAGUAGCUGGUCUGAGAGGACGAUCAGCCACACUGGGACUGAGACACGGCCCAGACUCCUACGGGAGGCAGCAGUGGGGAAUUUUGGACAAUGGACGCAAGUCUGAUCCAGCAAUGCCGCGUGC
rnacentral:rRNA from 1 species